rnacentral:sRNA from 1 species
AACGACAGUACCUUGAACUUUGUUACCUCCCCCGGGUAGGCAUAAUGCGAUCUAUC